rnacentral:lncRNA from 1 species
UUUUAAUUACUAUAAAAAUACAUACAUGUAUUAAUAUCCCAAUUGAUGCAAAACUUGUACCAACAUCAAAAUAUAAACUUAUCAAAUAUAUUUGUCUUAAAAUAUACAUACUAGUACAAAAUUCAACAUAGACCACUUUGGUAUCCACCUAUUGCUGAUUUACUUUUAUUCAUGGGAUACAAAAAUUCAUAUGUUUUAUGCCAGAAGAUGAGAUAUGAAGUUAAGUGGUCAAUACAUUUCAAAUUUUCUAUGAGCUUGUAUGCAAAUUUUUGCACAACCACAAAAAUCAUGUAUCAAAAAAAAAAUCCAGUUUUCUUGAAACCAGUAAAA